ensembl:ncRNA lncRNA:CR43634 long non-coding RNA:CR43634
CUAAUCCACCAUCUCAUAACCAAGAUGAAUCUAUAUCUGGCUUUCAUUCUGGCUUCAAUUUCUGGGAUUUCGUGUGCUCCGCAGACUGAAGGUGGUUCCGCUCCCUAUAUAUAUGUGUGUAAUCCACCGAAUCCUGCCUGUCUGCUCUAUAAGCAAUUUAAUGAUACAAGAACCUAGAAAAACAUAGUGAAUAUAAGUAAAGUAUGGAAGACCUUAAGGUUAUAUACCUAAAGUGAGUUUAAAUAAACGUGUCACAAGUGUUCUAAUUUCGCUUAGCUUGGAAAGAAAUCAAUAUUACUAAUGUAACUAUUAAAUACUGAAUUUAUAAACGAUACUCGU